GACAAGAAACACAAGACAACAGCUAGCUGGACACAAAAUGAGUGACUUAAAAGUAUUAUUUACCAUCAUUAUGUUCACUUUCAAUGACUUGUAUGAUCAUGGUAGCCUGCAUGAGAAAAGUUUCAAACUUAGCUCGCUUUUAGCUUACCGGUCAGUAAUCGACAUCGUAUACAGUAGACAAUAAUUACAUUGUGAGAAAUAGUACCUUUAUGAUUAGUAGCAGUUUCCAGGCCUUGAGAACGAUCAUAAGAACUGACGUUGGUUUACGUCUGCAACAUUACUGUACUAGUAAUACACAAGCACAUUAUAUGUUCGAACACUGACAUUAAUAUGUUUUUCUUGUGCCAGGAGAAUUACAUACUCCAACGAGUCGUUUUCAACACGUUAAUGGGUGCCUGUAUAGUGAGCAACUUAGUCAAUUAUGUAUUUAACCAUUUAACCCUUUAACCGUCGGAUUUACAUUUAGGAAUAGCACCAUUUUUAUAAGUUCCAACUUGUUUUGCACAAGAUUCUAAACAAUUACCCAUUGCAUGAGAUUGGAAAGAAUCGAGAUCCUCCUCCUCUAACGAAGAAUCCAUGUUAUGAAGAGCAUGCUAUGAAGAGCUGCCACGUUUGUAGAAGUGAAAUUCUCUAUCGGGUUUCCAGAGCAAUAGAAUGCCCAUACAACAAGGAGUGUUGCCAUAGCAACCACGGUUAUUGCGCCCACCCGUUUUUAUCAUUUUAAAUGCCCAGCCAGCGGUGAGAUAAAAUCCAAAAAAAUUUUUUCAUGGAUCAGCCUAUCAUAUGGCUUGACUAAGCUUGAUUUUCAAUGUAACAGUGCUAAGAUAUAUCUUGACAUCAGAGAGAAGGUGGGGCUCGAGAAGGUGGGGCUCGGUGAACGAUCUAUGAAAUUUACAAGCUCACAUAAAGACUGUUCAUUACUGCUAAUUCUAUUUUAGCUAUACUAUACUUACACUCUCCUGGUCUUUCACCGUCCUGGUCCAUAGCUAGCGUCUAGGUCCAUGUCAUGCAUGUCAUCAGUCCCAGACAGUUCAUCAGCGUCUGCUGGUAGCCUUUGGUAGCCUUUGGGAGGUAUCCUACUAUCCCCUCUCCUUCAUAGGCACUGUCAUCACCAGAGGAGACUUGCUGUCCUCAAGCUGUUCAAGCACAUCGGCACAAGUAAAAAAUCUAGCCAUAGCAAGAUGCUAAUAAAAUUUUAACAUAGCAACGUGGCUUGGACUAAAUUGCUAAAUUGCACGUGAUCUUCCUCGUUCGAGCUAUUUCUAAGUAUCGCAGAAUUGCGGGCCACGAUCGUGGCCCGUGGCGGUUAAAGGUUAAUAUGUGUAAACAUUACCUGUAAUGUCCACUGUCAUGAUACAUCACUGUCGAUUCCACCCAGUACUUGUCAUUGAUUGAUCACAUUUAGAUAUUUAAACAGACAAAAGAACCCAUUUCACAUUAGUACUCAAUUAUAGUACUCAAUAAUUGACACAAACGAUGCAACCACGGCUAAAUUAAUAUUGACAUACAUGGAUGGGUCACCUGACGACAUCUUGACAGGCUGUUGCCGAAGAAUGAAACAUCCUGACAGAAAUAAGGACCCAAUACAUUUACACAAUACACUUACACACACACUGCUAAAUUAAUAUUCACAAACAGUAUAUACAUCUACUUUUUUUCAGAUGUUCCACAUCUAAUGAAAACAACCAGAAAUUGCUGGUCCCACUUUUUGGUCAUGGCUGCACUAGAAAGCUUUGGAUCAAUGGGAAGCACAUCAGCUGGACCCAUCUCCGCUCCCUGUACCAACAUAAACUUAUGCUUGCUGAAAGAUCACAAGGGCUUUUUCUUUUGAAAAAGCUCUCCCGAGAACAUGUCAAUUUGACAUCGUACUCUAGAAUGCGAGUGAACCUUGCAGCAGAAGUUAGUGAGUCCGUUGCAGUAGGAUUCAGUUUCUAUGACAGCAUUGACACAACAGAGACACUGAGAUUUGUUCGAAUGUUUGACAAAUUCUUCGACUGUCUCAACGUACGCAUCCCAAUGACUAUCAGCGGAGGAAGAAGCCAAACUUGAAGCCGUACACAAGCCCAGCUGAUGAGCGACUAAGUUGGCUCGAAAACGACUUUCUUGGCUAUCUGAAAGAAUGGGAGAUCAGUGUGAAUGGACAUGAAGAUGUUACACCCGCUCAAAGAGCUACCAUGUUGCUGAGUAAAGCAACCAGAGAGGGUCUGCAUAUCACUGUGAAAUCAUUCGUUGAGCUGACACGAUACCUUCUAGGAUUGUCGUCAGCCCAUAUCUACUCAGUGAGCAUUUCUCACAAGACCCACUCGAAAACUACAGCAACGUUCGAGGGGAGGUCGAAACCAAAACCCCACUGUUCGACCUCUGCUCAAUCUCUUCAGGUACAAGGUAGCAUGGCAAUGGUACCACUUAGAGGAAACUCACGCCGUAAGAAACGAUUGUUUCCUGAAGAGGUUGUUGAAGAUACCCCACUUAAAAGAGGCCAAGGAAUAAUUAAGAUUGUGAUAUUUUCUGUUGUUCAUGCAUGUAUACCAUCCAAUACUACACUUUUUAUUAACAUUGAUGAAUAUCAAAAUCUGUUUUCAUCGUGCAUGCAUUGAAGGACAUGUAUAGAAUUACUGAGUCUUGUCAGAUUGCUUGUCGAGAGUCUUUCUCAAACUUUUGCUCUUCAUGACAGCAAAUUUUUAUAUUGCUCCAGCCAGAAAGAUGUCACAGCAAAGCCUCUAAUAGUUACCCAGAGACUAACUAUUUCAUGGAGUAAAUCGUCAGCUUCACUCUCCUUCUUGAUAUCAAUAGCAAGCAUACUCCACCAAAACUGAACAUCAUCAUCUUCCAAGACAUCCUUCAAUAGUUUUCCCUUGCUUGGUGUAGGUGGCAGUAAUGCCUGCGUUUGUAUCUCGAUUGCUUUAAACAAAUUGAACGUGGUGUCACUAACAUGAAACAAUCCUCCCCUAUCAAUGUUUGUCAUCCACUCCAAUGUAUAAAGAUAGUAAGAACUUACAUCUCCAGAGCUGGCCAUACUACCUAAGCAUUCAACAAAGUGGGCAGCAGUUUCUGUUGACAUCUUUUGGAAUUUUUUCAUCAAUUUCAAUUUCAUGGCACUGGCAUAUCGAACAGCGUUGUCUUCCUCGGUCGACAGUUGAACACUCUUUGCUGCCACUGGAGUCGGUUUCGAUAACUUAGCAAUAUCAAGUAUUAUUGUUUCAAAAAGAUGCCAGUUAACCGAUUGGGAAUCAAUGGUGGUAGUUCAAUCCUUUGUGACAGUGACUUCCACACAGAAGGCAGUUUCUUAAUUCUUAACUGAGAUAAAGAACGCUAGCUUGAAUUUCCCUUGAGGAAUACACUGUAUGGGUGAGCGAAUUGCUUGGACUAAACUCGCCGAGAAAUCUUUGAGAGUAUCUGUAGUUGCACUACUCAUUGUUGAGAAAAGGUCCCCAGUCGUUUUCAGGGAGCAAUCUACUUCUUCUUCAGCAUGCAAUACAGCCUUAAUAGAAAAUACUACUUGAAAGUCAUCAUCAUUGGAACUAGCCAUUUCUAUGCGUUUAUCUGUCUUAUCUGUCUUUGUUUGCCUUAGUGGUUUCCAUGUGAACUACACUAAAUUACGGUACACAAGGGGUUAAGUAUGCCUAUAGAAUAGGAUUUCUACUGUGUUUCCAAUCUUUCUUCUAUCUAUGAUCACACGAGUGACAUGACUGUAUUAUUUAACAUAAUUAUAAAAAAUGCACACAAUACACUCUGGUAAUGUUUCACAGGCAUGUUAUCAGCGUAAUGGCCAGUGCCUGAUAGGGAUUAAAUCUUGGUGCAAUAGUAUUCUAUUUGGGGCACGGUUCAAAGUACAAAUAUGCAUGCCAGAUCUGUCAUUAAUUGUGACCUUUUCGACCUUUUCGGACCUCGAAGGGAUCGACUAACAUAUACAGAUUGUGGAAAUUUAACUCACGUGCCUUAGCCUUAAUUGAGUGAGUGGGGGAGCAAAAAAAGACAGUAAAACAGAAGCCAGCCUACAGGAUUCGUAUAUUUUAAAUUUUGUUGGACUCCAGCAUACACACAAUUCUUUAAAUUGUAUGUGAAUUAUGCAAGUAAUACUACACUACAGAUCUAAGAUCCCACUCACUUCUUUUCUGAGGGUCUAGCAAGCUUUGAAUGUGUGUUGUUCAGCUGAGGCACGGAGUCAAAUUUCCACAAUUCAACUUUUGCAAAAACUCGGGUAAGUGCAAAACAUGGACUGGAUUGGACUGGACUGGACUUUGGACUGUGGGCAAUGUAGCUAGCUAGCUAGCCUGUUGCUGUACGUUACAAAUCAUGCAAAGACAACUGUCGACAAAUCAACAAGCAGUAAGCAAGCCUACCAUCUCACCGCCUUCCUAGGUAAAUAUUACUCUACCCCCAAUUCAUAAUUUUACUCCUGGGCAGUUUUCACCACACAGAAUCUUGUACGAGCACACGUACGUACACACUACUAGCACCGAGAAUAUGCCAGCAAGGAGCACCCACCAGUAUCGUAUACCAGCCUGUAACACCUACAAUCCAUUCUUAGUACAGUGUGCAGAAGGCCUCCACAUGCAAUAGUGCGGUUGAAAGAAGGCCCAGCAAACCUAAAUAAAAGCAGCACACUACUGCUAUAAUUAUAUCUUCUAUCACAGCAGGGUGUCAACAAUUCACCUUGGCAAGUUUAGUUGUUUCACCUGACGUUAAGAACAUUAACCCUUUCCCGGCUUUGGAUGACAUAUGUCGUCCUUGCUACCGAGAUUUUUCAAAAUUUCGAGCUAUGCGCACGCUGCUCUUUCACGUGGUAUUUUCAAGAUUUUCUUCAAGAUUUUCGUAGUACAACCUCAGUGAGGUUUCAGAGCUGCUAGACAGUGAGAAUAUCAAGUGAGAUCAUAGCUAGGUAGGUGUCGGACCAACUGGUAAGUCUACAGUAGCAUUGUGAUAGCUUUUUGCUUAGGCUAGCAGUAGUGGACAUCAUGAGCCACCAUUGAACUUGUAAACCUGUGUGUAGGUGAAGAAAACGUUUCCCGGGAAAAGGGCGUCUGCUGAUACAACCUCGCAGAGAUCGAACCAUGUUACCGAGAAAAUCAACCUUUGGAAAUAGAAGCUAUUGACUGGAUGUCUGGAGGGAGAUUCUACUGUCUCAUCACCAUAUGACUCUCAUCAGCUUGCAAAUGAGUAGGCCGGGGCAAGCCACUUCAACCACAUAAUCUGACAAAUGACUCUGUGAAUUCCUGGCUUCAAAGUAAGUGUGGUUUCCCAAUUGUGGUGAUGUUGAUCUGUGUGUCCUCGAAAGUUGUUUGGGCUUCUGAGAGUUGGCUGGCUUUUACUAUCAGAUGAGUUUUAGAGGCGUUGACCAUGUAUCCAUAGGCAGGGCCAAUGUUGGUCAGCUCCUCCCACCAUCAGCAGGGAUGUCACUAGUGGCAGCAGCGUCAUCAGCGUACCAUGCCUGGGUGACUUCUACGGACUGGUUAACUCUGUCCAUUAGGGGUUUCAGGGCGAUGGCAUACAUGCCUGGGUGGUGCCUUCCUGGGUGGAUCCAUCGACGAACAGUUCCGUGUCCUGGCGGUAAGUAUUAAUGAGAAUGGUUGAAAUGGAUGGACAGAGGACCCUGACAUUUCUAAGUGCCGUCUGGCGGUUUAGAGAGUUGAAUGCAUUGCUAGCUCUUUAGAAUUAAAUGCGAGGUUCAUAGCAUGGACUGCAGCCUCAUUACCAGCAGUUGGGUAGAGCCAGCAGCGUCUUGGAUAUCAUCACUUGUAACUGCCUUGGCAACGAUUCUGCGAACUGUCUCGCAAAUUCCGAUAGGUCGCACACCUGGGUUCUUAAACGACAGGGACUGAGUCCUUUAGGGUUGACGAAGGUCAUGUAGAUUAGAAGGGCUAAUGAAUGGCAAAUAUCAUCGGAGGCAGACUUAAAGGAGGUACAUAUCCUCCUCCAUCCAUGUGCGUCAGUUUGGCGCAUUGGCAGUUCCUGCAUUUACCGGUUCGAUUGCAUUUUGGUUGAGUUUGAGUGCGUCAAACGAACCUUUGGUCAGUUACCAUCAAUGAAGCUUUGGGGGGUCUGAUUGUUCAAUUGUAUAGCUUCUACUCUUUGGAGUAGGCCAAAAGAUAAAGUAAGUUGGGGCUACUAUUCUUUUGAAUAGGCCAACAGAAAAAAUAAAAAACAAAACAAAAAAAUAAUAAUAAAUAAUAAAUAAUUAUAAAAAAUAAGAAGAUAACCUCUCCUACUCUCCUACUCAGUCUCGGUCUCUCAGCAGCUUUCAGUCUCUCAGGUUCUCAGUAGUCUCUUUCAGGUCUCUUUCAGCAAUCUCUUAGUCUCUCAGGUUUCUCAGCGGUCUCUCAGCUCAGCAGCAAUCUCUCAGUCUCUCAGUCUCUCAGUCUCUCAGCAGUCUUUCUCAGCAGUAGGAUUCUACUGAGAAUAUACGAUGUUAUCCAAAGCCCCUAGAUACCGGGGCGCAUGCGCACCACUUCCCUAGUCUCAUGAAUCA